rnacentral:misc_RNA from 1 species
UUAAGUUCAGCGGGUAUCCCUACCUGAUCCGAGGUCAACCAUAGAAAGUUGGGGUUAUGGCAAGCAUCCACCGGGACCCAGUAGCGAGGAGUAUUACUACGCUCAGGGCCCAGCGGCGCCGCCACUGAUUUUAAGGCCGGCCAUUGCUGGCGCGGCCCAAUACCAAGCAGAGCUUGAGGGUUGAAGUGACGCUCGAACAG